rnacentral:rRNA from 1 species
ACCAACAGGGAUUGCCUUAGUAACUGCGAGUGAAGCGGCAAGAGCUCAAAUUUGAAAUCUGGCACCUUCGGUGUCCGAGUUGUAAUUUGUAGAAGCAUCUUUUGGAUUGGUCCUUGCAUAUGUUCCUUGGAACAGGACAUCAUAGAGGGUGAGAAUCCCGUUCAUGGUGGGGAAUCCAAUUCUUUGUAAAGUGCUUUCGAAGAGUCGAGUUGUUUGGGAAUGCAGCUCUAAGUGGGUGGUAAAUUCCAUCUAAAGCUAAAUAUUGGCGAGAGACCGAUAGCGAACAAGUACAGUGAUGGAAAGAUGAAAAGAACUCCGAAAGGAGAGUGAAAAAGGACGUGAAAUUGUUGAAAGGGAAGUGCUUGAGAUCAGUCUUAAGGUUUAGUGAUCAGUCUUCCUUUUGGUUGGUGCACUCACUAUUUCUUAGGCCAACAUCAGUUUUCGCGGCAGGAUAAUGACAUUGGAAUGUGGCUCUUUCGGGAGUGUUAUAGCCUUUGUUGAUACUGCCUGCUUAGACUGAGGACCGCGCUUUUGCUAGGAUGUUGGCAUAAUGAUCUUAAGC